AGAACCCUGCACUUGGCCUUGUUCAAUCUCAUCCCCUUGGCCUCUACCCCCCAUCCAGCCUGUCCAGAUCUCUCUGCAGGGCUCUCCUACCCUCCAGCAGAUCCACACCUGCUCCUACCAAGAAGACACCAGUCACAGCCUGUGCCCCUGGCAGGGGAGAAGGGCACUUGGCUGAGGAUGGCUAUUGAGAGUGUCCUGCUGUGCUGCCAGCUGCUGCUGCCACCGAUGAGGGCUGAGACACAACCACCACAGCUACUUCUUUAUUUUUGCCAGCAGGGAAAAGAAGCAAGUCUCUACAAAUACCAGGUUGCCUUUGAAAAAGAAAUAAUAACCAUCAGCAACAAGUCGUAGCUCACCCAUACGACCUCUGAAAAUGACCGGUGCUCUGAAACAGUAUUCAAGAGAAGCUCCCACCCCAGCGCAGAGGACAAUGGCACCGAGGACGUCCUGCCUUCCCGGCCAAGCAAGCCACGCCAGUUCUGUGGAAGCAUUUCUGUGGCUUUGCCUUGUGGAAAGCCAAGAGCAAAGCAUCAAGUGGUGAGCAGGAGCUUCAGCUGGCCCUGGGAUGUCACUUCUGAACCUGGAAGGAGAUGAUUUCUUAUGGGUCUUAAUGCACCAGUCUUCAGUGGUGUCAGGUCAUCUGAGGUUCCCCACCUGUCAGUUGAGGAUAAUGGCAGCUGCAAGCCCCAGCAAAGCACAUUAUCUGUGAUGCCUUCAUCUGUGUCCCAGAGCAAGAUGUUUCAGUUUGUUCUGUUACAGAAGUGAAAAGCGUUGAGAUUGGUGCAGCUGAGCACCCAGCAGGUUCACAACCGAUGUUUAAGUCAACACUGACAGCAUGACAGUGAGCUGGCAGAGCUCUUUCUCCUCUCCAGUCCCAGAACAUAAGCAAAAGAUUUAGGCCUGUCUACACCAUGGACCACUUACCUGGCAACUUAAAUCUCCAAAGGAACAGAGGAAAACAUGGAAUGAGAAAGCAGAGACAUACCUGUCCCUCAAACUACUCAACAAUACUUCUGCAAGAGGUUCCCCAAAAUCAGCAUUACUCAUGUGGUGACACAAACAAUUCAGGACAUGUCCUCUGCAGGGAGAAGUGUUUGAUGAGGGAGGUCGCUUCAGAGCUGCUGCGCUGUUGACAGGUAGGGAGCACUC